rnacentral:rRNA from 1 species
GUAGGGGGCGAGCGUUGUCCGGAAUCAUUGGGCGUAAAGCGCGUGUAGGCGGCCCGGUAAGUCCGCUGUGAAAGUCCAGGGCUCAACCCUGGGAUGCCGGUGGAUACUGUCGGGCUCGAGUCCGGAAGAGGCGAGUGGAAUUCCUGGUGUAGCGGUGAAAUGCGCAGAUAUCAGGAGGAACACCAAUGGCGAAGGCAGCACUCUGGGACGUGACUGACGCUGAGACGCGAAAGCGUGGGGAGCAAACAGG